CACAAGAGGUUUUUGGGGCAUUCAGCCCAUGUGACCAACAUCCGGUUUACCAGUGGAGACCGGUAUGUGGUGAGUGCUGGAGGGGAUGACUGCAGUUUGUUCGUCUGGAAGUGCGUGCACAGUCCUCACUGAACAAAGCAAGGCAGAGCAACCUGAAGGAACAAGUAGCUGUUCUGCAUGAUGGUAUCUAGCAUGGCUCAUCCAGUGUCAUGGAGCUUAAGAAUCCCUGGACAUCCUGCAUGUGCAAGGAGUGGUGGUACAAGCAAAUACAAGGCAGUCCUUGACUCCAUCUGUCUAUCAUCUUAGAGUGUGCAAAGUGUCUGUAAGAGAGAUGGAAGCCUUGUGCUUCCUUACUGACUGAAAAAGCUCCAGUAUGUCAGGGAAGAUCCUUUAACAGCAGGGACCUUGAAAACCUUACUAGCCUUUGAACUAGUACCUUUUGUCUCUGUUCAUCUUAAAAUGGUAUCAGGUCGGAAUACAAAUUCAUGUUGUUUAAAUGCAGAAGUGGUUGCACACAGCCAAAGGACUCAUUAAAGUUGUGUUCUGCAGUACUUGGUUGUAAAACAGGCAGGGGAACCUAACAUCAGGUCUGCAGAAGAAAGCUUGGAAUUUGAUGACUGUGCUGUAUGCUGCAGGCUGCUGGGCAUUUGGGGAUUUUCUGACCUCUUUUUGUAAAACAACAUCAAGCUUGUAAAGAAGAGCUCCUAAAGUGGUUACAAUAAACAUGACUCUUUUUUUUAAUUGUACAGCAAUGUUAUAUGUGUAGUCUGCAGGAUGCUAUUAAGAUUUAAAAAACUGGAAGUACCUUUCAGAAUGGGAUUAUAGGAUAUCUCAUUCUGGAUUAUGCCCAAACCAACCUCUUCUCAAAGGAUUCAACAGAACCGUUGUCUCUCUUUUUGCCUUCUAAUGGGAGUGAUAUCCUAUAAUGUUACUGAUGUGGAAUGUCGCAAGCAGCAUGUGUUUGUCCCAUCUGUCUUCAGUAGAAAUGCAAAGCAGGCCCCACAUGGGUGAAUGCUCAGGGUACUUAGCAGAUAUCAAGAGGAAUUGCCACUAAUGUAUCAAACACCCUGUGACUGCUCUCUGAUAUGUGUGUUUUCUUAAUGUCCAUUCAUUUCUGCCAGCUCUAAAAAUCAAGGAAAAAAGGCAUGAAGAGAACAGAUGGAGCCCUUUCUGAGUGGCAUUUUGUUACAUUUUUUUAUGUAUUUGUUACCAUCUGCAUCCGUCCUUGCUCUUUCAUGGCACUGAUUGAGCUGCUCUGAACACUAUUGCACACACAGUGCAUCUUCAAAUAAGAUGGAUGGUUCUAGAACCCUCCACAAGGGUCACCAUAUAGCCAGCUAGGGUGCCUAUGCAAACUGUUUUCAGAUGAACUCAGGAUGAUUGUCUUAGCAACUAGUCUACUGUUUUGUAACAUCUUCUCACCAUUGUCUUAGAAAAAAUUAUGUUAAGAAAAUCUCUCAACAUCUUGUAAGAUUGCUCUUUCUUCAAACCAUGUAUAAAAUAAUUAUAAUUAGUAUUAGGACCACAUGGAAGCUUUUUGCAUAUAUCUUUUAUUUUUAUAGGCUGUGGCUUCCAAAACAAGUGGUCCAUAACUUUUUCAUUCCAUAAUACAGCCAAAUUAAAGUGUAAAUUAAUAUGGCAUUUGUUUUUCUGCUGCUAUGAAGUUGUGUCUCCAAUUCCUGAAUAGUGUAUCAGUUAUCUUUUUGCAGGAAGUAUUCAGAACCUAACUGGAUUACAUCUGUCUGCAAAAGACUGAAUUAAAAAAAAAACAUGUCCAA